GAGUAAGAUAGAGCAAAACGCAGCCAAAGAAGAGUCGUCCAGUAGCCGACGUAGAUGGCAUGCAACUCCAACUUCGCAAUGAUACCCGCUCUAAGAUCGCGGUCUUCCCAGGUACAAGAACACAGCUCACCAGUAGUCGACCGCUGGUGAGCUGUGUUCUUGUACCUGGGAAGACCACCAGCGAAGAGAAUAGAAUAGAAUUGGCGAGUUGGAAUCCGAA
rnacentral:pre_miRNA from 1 species